rnacentral:tmRNA from 1 species
AAUUUUGCAUUUUCAUGCAUUAAGUACUAUAUUAUAUAGUGAUGCUAGUCAUCUAUGGUGAUAAACCAUUCUUAGAAUAAGCGGAGCGGACCCGGGGGCGGUACCCGGCGUCUCCACCAUGAUUUAUGGGGACGAAAUAGGAUCGACGUACGUAGUAAAAAGGAAUGUUUUGCCCGGCCAUGAGUACCACCGUUAUCGGAACUCAAAUUAAUAGGUGCAAACAAUAAUCGCACUUCUGGACGCAAAACAACACGCCGCGUUGCUAAUAGCAACCGUCGCGUUCGUAGAGCUUUCGCAAUUGCUGCUUAAUUUAGGUUCUACCUAUAAAGCGCUUUAGCGGUCCGCGGUUUGGGGGCAGCCGGGCAACAGAAUGCCCCCACU